CUGUUUUUGUGGAGCAUAUACAGUAUCCAGCAAAAGUCUAGCAGAUUGACAAUUUCUUUAAAAAUAUUGCUUAUAAAAACCAUAUUAUAAAGCAUAACUAAAGCCAAGAAAAUACAAGAAAAGUGGAACAUUAUAAUGAUUUAAUAAUAGCAUAGAAAAAGCACUUUUAACAGCAAAAACUUAUUGACAUUCAUAUAGACUAUUGCGACUGAUUUAUUACUUUUAAAUUACAGAAGUAGACUUUGAAAUGUCAAAUCAGUAGUUUUGCAAUUGUAGCAGAAUGAAAGUACUUGAUAUAAAGUUUUUUUUCGAGGCGUGUACUGUAAAUAUUGAAAAGUAUGUUAAUCAAUAAAAAUUUGUAUAAGAGGAUGGGAUAAAACCUAUAAAAUCUUAACCAUAUCACCCACAAUCUACCUGUUUUGUUGAGACAAGUAUUCAAAGAAACUUGAAAAAGCCUUAUUUUACGUAAAAAAAGGAAAAAAAUCAAAACGUAUUAGAAACUAUUUUUAAGUUAAGCCCAAAACUCGAUUUCGUUUAAUAUUGGUAAUAAGUUGGUGGAUUCUAUGCAAAAUUAUACGCCAGUGAAAACCCCGAUUGUGUCUACAGUACCAAAACCGAACAUACAACUACCAGAAGUAAAGUAUUGAAACUGCCAAGUGAGAAACGUCUGCAGGAUUCCAGUCGGAGUUCAACAAGCGAACGGAUGAUAUCCCGGGAAAGCUGGUUGUACAUUGACUUCUGCUGGAUUUCUUCUCCACAGAUUUUGGUUGUUAGCGGCCACACCUAACCGAGGAAAAAUCUAGGAGUCAAUCUACCGUCGACAGCAUGCCGACGUUUCUUUAAAAAAUCAUUGGUGGUUCAUGUACUAAAUAAAACGCUUUUCAAGUA